AAUGAACGCUGGCGGCAGGCCUAACACAUGCAAGUCGAACGGAUCCUUCGGGAUUAGUGGCGUACGGGUGAGUAACGCGUGGGAACAUACCCUUUGGUACGGAAUAGCCUCGGGAAACUGGGAGUAAUACCGUAUGUGGUCGAGAGACGAAAGAUUUAUCGCCAAAGGAUUGGCACGCGUUGGAUUAGGUAGUUGGUGGGGUAAUGGCCUACUAAGCCGACGAUCCAUAGCUGGUUUGAGAGGAUUAUCAGCCACACUGGGGCUGAGACCCGGCGCAGCAUAAUAGGGGAGGCAGCGGUGAGGAAUUUUAGACAAUGGGGGUAAACCGGGUCUAGCUAUGCAGCGGGAACGUUUAAGGCGUUAGGGUUGUAAAGAUCUUUCAGGUUGGAAGUUAAUGACUGUACGACCAGAAGAAGCCAAGGGUAACACCGUGCCAGCCGCCGCGGUAACAC
rnacentral:rRNA from 1 species